CUUUGUGUUCUAGAAAAACAGGUGAUUCAACAUGUCUGACGAGGGAAAGCUCUUCAUCGGUGGUCUGAGCUAUGAUACCACAGAGCAGUCCUUGGAGGAGGCAUUCUCCAAAUAUGGAUCAAUUGCCAAAGUUGAUGUCAUCAGGGACCGUGAGACCGACCGCUCCAGAGGCUUUGGCUUUGUUACGUUUGAGAAUCCAGAGGAUGCCAAGGAUGCCAUGGCUGCAAUGAAUGGAAAGUCUGUUGAUGGCCGCAUGAUUCGUGUUGAUGAAGCUGGCAAAUCUGGUAGACGGUCCGGUGGAUUCAGAGGCGGUUCUGGAGGUGGCAGGGGGUUCUUCAGGGGUGGUAGAGGUGGAGGAGGAUACGGUGGUGACAGGAGUUUUGGUGGCGAUAGGGGCUAUGGCGGAGGUGACCGAUCCUACGGUGGUGGCGAUAGAGGCUAUGGCGGAGGAGAGAGAAGCUAUGGUGGAGGUGACCGAUCCUACAGCGGGGGUGGUGGUGGUGGUGGUGGAUAUUCCAACAGGAGUGGUGGGUACUCCGGUGGCAGCGGCGGUGGAUACAGGGAUAAUAGGAGUCAGGGGGGAUAUGACCGUUCUGGCGGAUCCUACAGAGACAGCUAUGACAGCUACGACUGACACUGGACUUGUUGCAUUUGAAAAUUUAGAGGAGCAAGCUGACCUUUGAUGAAAUGAAUUCUUUCAUGGCAAAGAUUAGAGAGCUCAUGGAAAUCCCUGCUCUGCAGAUGAGCCCAUCUCUCCCAAAAGAAAGCAGAACGUGUCAACACUUGCAGAAGAUGAAAAAUCAAUCUUGCAACUCUAAAGUUUGCUGUAUUUUGCUGAAAGCAGUGAUUCGGUAGAAAGGUGAUCCCUUUAAAGCCUUGAGAAUGACCAAUCCAUUCAAUAAAGUUUGUUUUACACCCGUUUUAA